AAAUGAAUUGACGGGGACCCGCACAAGCGGUGGAGCAUGUGGUUUAAUUCGACGCAACGCGAAGAACCUUACCAGGCCUUGACAUCCCUUUGCUCGCUCUAGAGAUAGAGCUUUCCCUUCGGGGACAGAGGAGACAGGUGGUGCAUGGUUGUCGUCAGCUCGUGUCGUGAGAUGUUGGGUUAAGUCCCGCAACGAGCGCAACCCUCGUCGUUAGUUGCUAACAUUCAGUUGAGGACUCUAACGAGACUGCCAGUGACAAACUGGAGGAAGGUGGGGAUGACGUCAAAUCAUCAUGCCCCUUAUGGCCUGGGCUACACACGUGCUACAAUGGCUAGUACAAAGAGACGCGAAGCGGUGACGUGGAGCCAAUCUCAAAAAGCUAGUCUCAGUUCGGAUUGCAGGCUGCAACUCGCCUGCAUGAAGUCGGAAUCGCUAGUAAUCGCGAAUCAGCAUGUCGCGGUGAAUACGUUCCCGGGUCUUGCACACACCGCCCGU
rnacentral:rRNA from 1 species